CUUUUUGCGCGCCGGCUUAAGCCAUUUACCUAAUCUGAAGCUCUCCCGCCCUUCUACAUGGCACAGAACUGUGUCUUUUUUGUGGUUGUGGCCGUGCAGAUUCCUUCAUCGGAGCUGAGUAAUUUGGGGGAAUAGGGUCUCCUCCGCCGCCAGGCGUUUUGGUUUCACUUUCUGUCGGACGCGCCUUGUCAUGUCCGGCGCCGGAUACAGCCCCGGUGAGCCGACGCUAACUCUGUAGCAACGUCCUUCUGUCAGGUUCUCGUGGAUAGCUUACGAAGCCUCGAAGAAGGUUAUACAGCAAGGAAACUACUGUCCCACAGAGGUCAAGCUCUGUACAGCCUUCUCACAGAUUUAGCUGAAGGGCUCGCUAGCAUUGCCAUUCUUCAUCAAUGUCUUACUAGAUUUCACCCCUUUCCAGCUGGUUGGUUCUGAUUCAACUUAUGGAGCCUGGUGACACCGGGCCGGAGGGGGCUCGACGACUCCAUGUCGAUGAUCCAGUGGUUGUAAGCCGAGCACAACUCCAAGAACUCCUUAGGAAAAGAAUCCACCACCUGAGAAUAAUCUCAGAAUACAGGAAUCCAAAACAGAGCAAAACUACUCAAAUAUUAUCCAUCUCUUCAAAAUCUACCUAUUACAAGCAAUAGCUACGUAUUUAUAGACAAAGGUAGCAACCUAUUAAGCUACAUACAACAUAAGCAAUCACUAAUCCUGUGUAGCCAUACAAACUGCAUACGAAACUAAUCCAGCAUGAAGUUAAUAGAAUUAAACAGCUCAGCUCUGACGUCACCCGACAGUUUGAUGUUGGCUUGUGAUGUCUCCUCUUUCCAUUUGUCAACUUCCUGUCACAGAUUGAACUUAUGAUCAAGUAAGUUUUCUAAUCAGCAUCACCAAAUCAUGUUCAAGUCAGACGUAAAAGGCAGUGCAGGAUAUGCCUUCCAUAAUUUUAGUUUUACAUUGCAAGGAUACAUUUACGUGGUUGUGACCAUAAUUUUAUUUUCUUAUAAGAAUUCCUCAGAAACAGAUGAGUCUAUUUGUUUUAACUUC